UACGUAGGGUGCGAGCGUUGCCCGGAUUUAUUGGGCGUAAAGGGCGCGCAGGCGGCUCGGCACGUCCGUUGUGAAAUCGCCCGGCUCAACUGGGCGGGGUCAGCGGAUACGGUCGAGCUUGAGCAAGCUAGGGGGCAAUGGAAUUCCCGGUGUAGUGGUGGAAUGCGUAGAUAUCGGGAGGAACACCAGUGGCGAAGGCGGCAUCCUGGACCAACACUGACGCUGAUGAGCGAAAGCCAGGGGAGCAAACGGG
rnacentral:rRNA from 1 species